rnacentral:rRNA from 1 species
AUGAACGCUGGCGGCGUGCCUAAUACAUGCAAGUCGAGCGAACAGACGAGGAGCUUGCUCCUCCGACGUUAGCGGCGGACGGGCGAGUAACACGUGGAUAACCUACCUAUAAGACUGGGAUAACUUCGGGAAACCGGAGCUAAUACCGGAUAAUAUAUUGAACCGCAUGGUUCAAUAGUGAAAGACGGUUUUGCUGUCACUUAUAGAUGGAUCCGCGCCGCAUUAGCUAGUUGGUAAGGUAACGGCUUACCAAGGCGACGAUGCGUAGCCGACCUGAGAGGGUGAUCGGCCACACUGGAACUGAGACACGGUCCAGACUCCUACGGGAGGCAGCAGUAGGGAAUCUUCCGCAAUGGGCGAAAGCCUGACGGAGCAACGCCGCGUGAGUGAUGAAGGUCUUCGGAUCGUAAAACUCUGUUAUUAGGGAAGAACAAAUGUGUAAGUAACUAUGCACGUCUUGACGGUACCUAAUCAGAAAGCCACGGCUAACUACGUG